UACGUAGGGACCAAGCGUUGUUCGGAUUUACUGGGCGUAAAGGGCGCGUAGGCGGCUUAUUAAGUCAGCUGUGAAAUCUCCGAGCUUAACUCGGAACUGUCAGCUGAUACUGAUGUGCUAGAGUGCAGAAAGGGCAAUCAGAAUUCUUGGUGUAGCGGUGAAAUGCGUAGAUAUCAAGAGGAAUACCUGAGGCGAAGGCGGGUUGCUAGGCUGACACUGACGCUGAGGCGCGAAAGCCAGGGGAGCAAACGGG
rnacentral:rRNA from 1 species